CAGAAUUAUGAUGAUCUUGUGGAGAAUAUUCACCCUUGUGUGGAUGACUUCAGAUGAUUAAGACUACUAAACUCCCCUUCUAUUAUUUGGGCAAUUUCUUCCUGCAGCAGCUGAAAUGUUCCAAGAUAAUUUGAAGACAAAGCAAGCAGGGGCAUUAUUGAAUAGCAGCCCAGUCCCGUGCCCAAGCUGAGCCUCAUCCCGG